GAGAAGGAAGCAUAAGAUCUCACAUAAACGACUAAACGACUGCAUUCCUCAAAGUUCAGCUAUGACAGUUCCAUUAGUUGAUCUGUACACUCUGAAGCAGGCUACAUUGAAUUUCUCCGAGACCCAUGUGAUUGGUCAAGGAGGGUUUGGCAUAGUGUAUAAGGGUCAAUUACCUGACGGGAGAACGAUUGCGGUGAAGAGGCUUAGGCAGUCUGCUCGCACGAGGAAAGGUAAAUGUGAUUUCACAAGAGAA